UACAGAGGGUGCGAGCGUUAAUCGGAAUUACUGGGCGUAAAGCGCACGUAGGUGGCUGUGUAAGUCGGGUGUGGAAUCCCCGGGCUCAACCUGGGAACUGCAUUCGAGACUGCAUAGCUGGAGUACGGAAGAGGAGGGCGGAAUUCCCAGUGUAGAGGUGAAAUUCGUAGAUAUUGGGAAGAACACCAGUGGCGAAGGCGGCUCUCUGGUCCGAUACUGACGCUGAGGUGCGAAAGCGUGGGGAGCAAACAGG
rnacentral:rRNA from 1 species